CUAUGUGACGUUUACUUAGGAAUUUACAAACAUGAUUGGUUUGCUCCAACAAGUUAAGGAGAUUUUCACCCAGAAAAAUCUCCUUCGUCACAAUUGACACUAGCCAUUCCUUGUGGCAAGAAGCAGUUCGGUUAAAAAUGAAACAACAUGUCUACACUAUUCUUAGUUUAAAUUUAAAAAACAAAACCAAAAGAAUAGAGGUGUAUGUAUGUCUCAUGGCCAGUCCUGAAAGGUAAUGGCACCAAUGCUGCAGCUCCAGGCCAUAGAAUAUGGGACUGCCAUCAGGUGAAGGAACUUCCUAGAAGGAUUGCACUUUCAAGAAGAACCAUCAACACCCAAGAACUUUCUAUAUGACGUUUACUUAGGAAUUUACAAAAACAUGAUUGGUUUGCUCCAACAAGUUAAGAAGAUUUUCACCCAGAAAUACUUCCUUCGUCACACUUAACACUAGCCACCCACUCCUUGUAGCAAGAAGCAGCUGGGUAAAAAAUGAAACACAUCUACUCUAUGCUUAGUUUAAAUAAAAAAUAAAAGAAAAGAGGUAUAUGUAUGUCUCAUGGCCAGUCCCGAAAGGUAAUGGCAGUGAUGCAGCUUCUCCAGGCGAUGGAAUAUGAGACCAUCAUCAGGUGGAGGAACUUCAAUGGGUCGAUUUUUCUUUUGAAAUAUGAUUAUCGUAAAAUGAUCCUAAAUAGGUAUUAUAAAUGAAUGUCAGACUUAGAUAUUAUCAUAAAUGACUUUGAGAUAUAAUUUAUAAUGACCUGUUAGCUGUUACACUUGGUAGACCCAACUUUAUUUAGUUUCUAAGCAGAAACAUGUGAAAGGCGUCCUUAGAAUACAAGCUUGAUGCUGAAUAAUAAUUGCAACGAAUCAAAUUUUUUCAGGGUUGCUGAUUUUUUGCAUGCUGAUUUUUUAUGUGAUAAAUUGAUGAUUCUAAUUGCAUUGUUAAUGGGAUUACAAAGUUUAGAAUCAUGUUUAGCAUGAUCAGCAACCCAUGUCAUAAGAUAAUCAAUUAGAUUUCAGAUCUGAAAAUUAUAAUUGCUACAUGCGGUGAAAUAAUGCAAUCUAAUUACUUGAUCAAUUAGAUUGAUAAAUGGUUAAUCCCUUCAAUUCUCCAUUAACUACUUAAUCGACACCUAAAUCAAUAGACACAAGAGGAUUAUAGUUUUUUAGGCUCUGUAAAAUCAUCUAAAUUUGGAAUAUGAUUUUGACCUUCUAUAGUUAAUUUUUUCUAUUACCUGGCGUCGAUUUUCAAAUAGACUCUUUUGGUUUUUUAUUUAAACUAAGAAUCAGAGAAGACAUGUUGUUUUCUACCCAACUGCCUGUUGCUAUAAGGAGUGGCUAGUGUUAGGUGUGACGAAGGAGAUUUUUCUGGGUGAUAAUCUCCUU
rnacentral:lncRNA from 1 species